AUCCCCUAUCCACUGCUAUUUCUGGCGCGAAGAAAUUUUCCCCUCCCGCGCCGCACGCCAUCUCGCUCCGCCCCCUGCACAGCGGCGGCGCAUCUCUCCGCCCCAGCGACGCCAUCACCUCUCUCCGCCCGAUCUUGCCCCGCCGCUCCAGAUCAAGAGCAUGGUUACCUGAAUCGAUCUUUUUCCAGACCAAAUUAACUUGCGGUGGUGCUUGUCCCGCGUCACGCCGCCGCCCAGGCUCCGCGCGAUCCUGCCGCCGUCACGCCGCCGCCCAGCCUCCGCACACUCCCGCCGCCGCCUACUAGUUACGCGCGCUCACGCCGUCGCUGCAGUGGCUGGGCGACGAGCUCGCCUCGCUCGCGCUCCCCAAGCUCGACUCCUACGCGUGCGCAAGGCUCCUGCAGCGCUGCAUCACAUCAGGGGACCUGUGAGUAGCGUCAAUAGCAGGGGGUACCAGACAAGAAUCGGCCGAAGCCUGCAAGUCACAACAGCCUGCAAGUCACAAAAUAGCAUGGAGUACUAGAUGAGGAUAGGAGAGGCGGUAGUCCAACUGCAAGCUCUGAGGCACCCACAAGGACACGACCUCCAGGAAGAAAGGCUGAGAAAGAGAAGUUGAAGAGGGGAGCAGGAGGAGGCGCGUACAAGGAAGUGUUCCAAGAAAUGCUCACUAAAAGAGAAGAGAUGGAGGCUCACAAGGAAGCAAGGUGGAUAGAGGUCAAGGCAAUGGAGGAGCGGAACACGGCCUUCAAGGAGCGAAAGGUGGCAAUGCACGUAUCUUGGCAGCACAGAUGGGUGGUUUUGAAGGUUGGACUUCGAAUGGAAGUAAUGGUCUUUGAUGAAUUGUGCCAUGGAAGGAUGGUUGCUUUACUUUUGAUAAUUACUUUACUGUUGAUACUUCCAUUUGCAUGAACUUGUAAGCUAUAUGCCAAGAAAAAUGGCAAAUAAUUGUGGAUAUGAUAGGACAAUACCAGAUUUGCUAUCUCUUUUCUUUAAGAAUAUACUGCUACCAUAUUUUAUCAGGACAA